GUAUCCUCACCUUAAGAAUAUAGGCUUUGGUGUCCUGUGUUAUGGUUUUUGUGUCUUUGUUGUGCACUGAAACAAACUGGCAGAAAUGGUCUCAAUUAAUGCUGUGAAAAAAUCAUGUACUUGCUCCUUCCCAUCCUUACCACUAAACCUAAUACCACUGAGGCUAAAAAUGCUUUAAAAGAACUGCUUAGAAGAUGCCUUAAAAGAAGUGCUUAGCCCACAAUGGGUUUUCAACAAAUAGUAAAUGAUUGACAAAGUGACAGAAUGCCGAAGUUCUUGAACAAUGAUUUAAAUUCAGAAGAAGAAAACUUUUCUUCUAGAUAUGAUAUCUGUUGGGAGCAAGGCUACAUAAUUCUAGGGAUAAAUCAUUUGGUUAGCCUAGUUCUCUUGCCUACAGCCCAGCUACAGAAUAACUCCAGUUUGGCCUCCGGUCACAACUGAGACUUCACUGAUCCAGUGAUGUUGUGAUUCUCCAGGACAAGAAACAUCCUGGGAGAACAAACAUCUGCUCAGUUCCUCAUUGUUCUUGGACUGAUUAACAUCUUGUUUGCCGGAGAUGUACUGAACUCUCUGCAAGCCUUCCGUUACACCUUGUUUAUCCCAAUGUGAACUAUUGAACUCUCUGCAAGUCAUUUGUUACAUUUGUUUCUCCCGAUGUACUGAAUAAAAGGUAUGGUAAGCUGGGGGCUUUGUCUUUGCUGCCCAGAGUAGCACUGAUCAGAACCAAAGCUCAGCUUCUUCUCAGUCUCGUUUUUCUACCUUUCCUGUAAUUCGCCGUGUGCUGCCGUGGCUCGCAGGAGACCAGGACUCACUGCAGAGGUUCUGGUAACGUCCCCUUCCCCUGUCCCCUACAGAUAUCUUUAUUCUUCAGGUAUAAAACUAGAUAUUACUUCUCUUAGAAAAUGAAGAAAAUGUGUUUAUUUUACUUAUUGUUAGCAAAAUUCUGUUUUCAAUUAUUGAUACAAUGGACCCUUGAAUUAAGACUGGCCUGACAUAUGAUCAACUUGAGUUAUGAUUAGAAUUUUUGUUUUAACUUACAAACAAAGUCUUGAGUUACAACCUAAAUGCCGGCCACUUGUGCUUCCAGAUGGUCUCAGAUACAGACUUAGCCCUUAAAGAGUUCUGGAAGGACCAUUACAACAUCCUUUCCUGUGUGGGGUUAAUUGAAAAAUCCUAGGCCAAUGUCUCUCUAAGGACACUGAUAUCUACCUGUAUACAGGAGAGAGACUUUGAAGGCUGUUUAGAGGAGCCUGAGCCUUCAAUUGACCAACCUGAGUUACAACCAGUCCUCAGAAAUGAAUUGAGUUCAUAAGUCAAGGGUCUGCUCUACUUAUCAGAAUAAUGCCUUACAUUUAAUUGAUACUCAAAUAUGUGAAUGGAUGAAGGUUGCACAAAUCCUUAAGGAGAGCUAUAAAAAAUGCCCAAAGUACAGAUACCACUAUUCCAUGCAGACAUGAAAUGAGGGAAAAUUUACAGGUACAGCAGGUUCAAUUUAUUACUCAUUGCCUGUUAUUUCGAUAAUUGCUUAUUAAUCCCAACUAUUGGCUGACUAAUGUUCAAGGUAUUUGGGAAAUAUCAGUGAAGAAAACAGCCAGUGAAGAAAAUGUCAGCCCAGGGCUUACAUUUUAUCAAGGAUACAGAUAAUAAAUGAUAAACCUAAUGAACAAAUAAAUUGUAUAGCAUAUUGGAAUGUGUACAAAAGAAAGAAUAAGUACAGUAAGAUAUAGAAGAUUGGGUAGUUGCAAGAAGAGUUACAAUUUUAAGAAGAAUACCCUGGUACCCUAAAUCAGUAGGUAACAUUUGAACAUGAAUAAAGGAAGGGAGUGAUACCUGAAAGAUCAGUCAUUAGGCAGUAGGAAAAUGCCAUGCAGAGGCCUCCAGAGGAAGCGUUCUUGGAACGUUUAAGGAACAGCAAAAAGGCAAAAAUGAGUGUAGCAGAGUGAAAGGAUAGAUCUAAAGGCAGAGAUAUUGGGAGUUGAGGAAGGCAGAACAUAGAAGGUUCAUAGGUGAUGACAAGAG
ensembl:lncRNA